GCCACCGUUCAAAGAUCCUAAGUACAGGUAAACGGAUUAAGGUGCCACCUCAUCUCACCUGUAAAGUCGGUAGCCCACGUACCUGUAACAGGAGGCCCCGCCCCCCAAAUAUGUUGUGAUCGCACAGUCAGUGCUCGAACAGCACCAGCAAACCAGUUGCCUCAACACUUUCCCUUUAUUAACAUGUUCCGUCCGUAACGUGCACUCCUGCAAAUCCAACGGUAACCAUGUCCGAGAAUCCGGAAAGUACCGCGAGUGCAGCAACAGGCCAGGGCGGUACCGUAGCCCCGGUGCCUCAACCGACCCCCAACAAGAGCUGGGUCCAGUUCGACGACGAGAAAUCACCCGCGAAACCGGACGCAAAGGACUCACCUGCGGUCAUAACGACGGAGAGCGUCCAGGUCAACUUGGAGCGCAGCCUGAACAAAUCCCUGGACAACGGACCACCUCCGGACCCGAAACCGUUGCGCAAUGUCGAAUUGCCCAUCGCCACCGUCGAGCCCAUCAGACAGGGAUUCUCUAAUGGGGACAUUAUUGUUACUUUGUUGCCCGUCAACACGAAACUCCCAUGGAUCACGCCCGCUCAGUUCCGACCCGAAUUGGUACCGGAGGAACUUAUGGCGCAAGGUUUAACGUUAACAGUUGAGGAAUACGUCCAAGCAAUGGAACUGCUGGUCAACGACGUGCGCUUCACCCUCUACAACGUCUGCUACAAGAGGGUGUUAGUCCUCUGGAUCACGCUAGCGUUCUUCGUCCUGCUCGGUCUCCUCUUCUCCGGCCUCACCGGUCUCACGCUCUUCGGUCUCGGGAUCGCGUGGCUGAUCCUGAACGCGGCCGCGAUCUUCUUUUCGAUCUGGCUCAAGUACCGUCUGUCACGAAACUUGGAACGUUGCCUGGCCCACGUCAACAAGCAGCUGCUGCGCCACAAGAUCGUGCUGGCGCUCGACGACCGCGGCAAGAUAUCGUGCCACAAGGUGAACCUGUGCUUCCUCUACAUGGACUCGGCUCCGUGCAUAGCCCAGCUUCAGACCACGAUCGAGCAACAGGAACGGGAUCCGGCCAGCGGCUGGGAACAGCGCAUGGACAUCACCGCCAACGACAUCGUCAUCCAGGGUAGCAGGACGACGAGGCUAUCCAGGAAGCAGGAGAGGGCGGCGUUGUUGUACCUGAGGUACGUGUCGCGUUGGGGUCGCGACAGAGUGAGGGGCCGUUUGGCCAGUCCGCCGGUUACCGGCGGUCGCCACUGCCCUUCGCACCAGUGCCCGUGCCAGUUUGUCGAGGAGCAUCUUCACUGCAAGCCCCAAGGCAAGUUGACUCUUAGGUCGUUUUUCUCUCUGCCCGAUCAGACCACGCCGGCUUCCACUGGUGGUGGUGUUUGCAACGUCAUGUAAAUUGGAAAUUUCUUUUCAAUUGGGUUCUCUUAUGGAUUUUUGGCACUCGAAAUUGACUAACUGGGGAACAUCCGAUAUUUGUGACUUGGGAACAAGUCUUAACCAAUUAAAAAUGACUACCAACUACAUUGCGUUUAACCAAUUUACAUGUUUUUGGCAUUGAUCAAAUAAUUGGUAUCAUGAAUUGGUAUAUCAAGUAAAGUAGUUUUCAUCAAUGUUGAUCAAGUAGUUUCGGCGUAAGGGGUGCGUUGGUAGAAAUUCCCUACAAAUUUAUUUUAUGUAGAAAUUAUUCGUUUUAUUUAGUUUCUAGUCAUAUCAAACAAGAACAUAGGUUCAAGUCAAUAUAGACAAAUCAUUAGUGUACUAGCGACUAUACGGAAUUGCUUGUAGGGAGUCUCGAAUAUAUAUUUUUUGCUUCGUCCUAUAAAAAAAACCUAUUUUUUAUGCAAAUGAUAAUUAUUUUUUCUUUUUUGUGGUGAUUGGAAAUACUUAAUAUAUUCUUAUCUACUCAUAUCUCAUAACCUGAAUCUCACAUUUGUCAAUUAUUCUCGUGUAAUAACUGGCAGCAUUAUCAUAAUUAUUUCGAAUUAAUAAAAAAUAUAUAUUGACAUUUGGGCAAUAAAAGUGUACUUAAGACAUUAACUAUAAAAUGGUUAAUCACAAUUCAAUAUAAUUUUAAUAGGUUGUUGUAUAAGCUUUUACAACUAAUGACUUAUAUUUAUAUAUUUUAAUAAAAUCAAUAAGUUUCAAUAUUAAAAGGGAUAAUUUAAACGUGUUUCAUCUUCCGACGUUGACAAACAUAAUUGUUCAAUUAAUAGACUGCUAGAUAAAUAAGUUUAAGUGUACUUAUCCUAACAUGUAUAGUGAGAAUAAAUCCGUCCAGAAUAUGUGUAUAUAUUUGUUUUUAUGAAUAAAGAUAUUGUAUACCGUGACUAAUUUAAUUUCAUGCUUCCUCUCUCUUUCCUACUAACCAAUUUUUCCGAAGGGGCUUAUGUAAGUAACUUGGUAAGUAAUAUGUGGUGUGGGAAUACAGAAUGUGUGUAAUUUUUCUUAAUUGUAGUUUUAGUAAAUAUUUCAUUUCUGAAUGGAUUUGCAAUAAAGAGUAACGCUUUUGUGGUAAAAGUGCAAUUUUAAUUUUUCAGCAAGCUUUCCUUUCUAUCCAUAAACCACCAUCAUAAAAAGGUUACCCUUGUGAUUGGUGUUUCUUCAUGGGGGACAGAAAUGUUCAAUUUGACAUUACACCAAUUCAUCCACCAACAUAAUUUUAAUAUUACUAACACUAAAUACAUUCCUUAGUUUUAGGUCAAUAAUAAUCAACAUAUUAUAAAGCAAAUAUGUAUAAUUAUAUAUUUUGUAUUGAAAAACAAUCACAUUGUUAUUGUUAUUAAAUAUAUUCACGUUAAUGUU